CUUCCAGUGAAAAUGCCUCAAGGAAACAUUCCCUGAACAACAGUACUAUAAAUAUGACCAAAGAACCCAGUUGGCUUCAGACUUCAACUGAAGACAUUACCAGACGACUUCCUUCCUUAACAUAACGAAUACACGCAAGGACUCCAGGCCAGAGUGAAGUAAAGACGAUGGAAGACUUACUGCAAAAUAUUCGCAGGCAGCCCAAACUCAGCACACUGAUUCCAAUAAUCUCCAAACUCAUUAUGAGUGCCCUGGCCAUCGCUCAGAUAUCAAUUGGUGCUAUGUAUCUGAAUGACUGUCCAAAGCAGCCCUAUAUUCCCAUCUAUCUGCUGGUGUUUGGUGUGUUUUUAUUGGUGCUCCAUCUGUCGUCCUGCCUUCCAUGCGCUCGGAAGCCAGAAGAUGGCGCUGAAGUUCCUAAGAUUAUU